rnacentral:lncRNA from 1 species
GGAAGGAGAGGAGGCGGAGAGGAAAGGAAAAAGAGGGGAACAUGGGACAAAAAACAUGGUAGUCACCACUCCAAAAGGGGUGGCGGCUAGGGGUAUUCUCUCUUAGGUUUUUUGGUUUUAUCAAAUGAGAGAGUUUAGUAACUAGUGUGCUUGAAUGAUUAAAUUUGCUCCUAAGCUGUUAAUCAUUCUUAAGAAGUGUAAUUUGGUACUUAUUGGACAAUAAAAUUAGGG